GCCUAUGGCCGUACCACCCUGAGAACACCUGAACCCGUCUGAUCUCGGAAGCUAAGCAGGGUCAGACCUGGUUAGUACUUAGAUGGGAAACUGCCUAGGAAUACCGGGUGCUAUAGGCU
rnacentral:rRNA from 1 species